CAAUAGCGUAUAUUAAAGUUGUUGCAGUUAAAAAGCUCGUAGUUGGAUCUGUGGUGUGCGGUGGGCUCCGGGCACUUGUUGUCUGAGUAGCUCGCCGCUGCCAUCCUUGGGUGGAACCUGUGUGGCAUUAGGUUGUCGUGCAGGGGAUGCCCAUCGUUUACUGUGAAAAAAUUAGAGUGUUCAAAGCAGGCUUAUGCCGUUGAAUAUAUUAGCAUGGAAUAAUGAGAUAGGACUUUUUCGCUAUUUUGUUGGUUUGCGCGAAGAGGUAAUGAUUAAUAGGGACAGUUGGGGGUAGUCGUAUUCCAUUGUCAGAGGUGAAAUUCUUGGAUUUUUGGAAGACGAACUACUGCGAAAGCAUUUACCAAGGAUGUUUUCAUUAA
rnacentral:rRNA from 1 species